rnacentral:lncRNA from 1 species
GCAGUGAAUUGGUGGCGGCAGGUGUAAGUAAUUGCUGAGAUUUGGGUUUGGGGAGUGGGCUCACGAGUGUUUAUGACAUUAUUAUAAAUGAAUAUAUGAGUGCAUAAAUUAGCAAAAUAAAAGGGGGCUUUUCUGGACCAAUGAUGAGACAGUGUUUAUGAACAAAAGAUCAUGAUUAAUCCAGUUCUGCACAAAACACUGAGGUCCAUUAGAAGACAAUAGGUCUUGGCUGUUUCAUUCCUUUUAAGAGCUGUUUAAUAUUCCACGGUAUGUAUGCACCAUUGUUGAUUACACUCUUCUACUGUUGAAAAUCCCAGCUGAAAGUGCUCUGGGGGAGGAGAAGCUUUGGUCACAGUCCUAGCCGUCAGGGUGGGUCACAGAUUCAUAGGUGUUCAUUAAAUUAUUUUUUAAAAAAGAAUACAUAAAAAUGGUGCUUAAUGCAGAUCAGUGAGGAAGCGUGUCACAAAUCGAGGUUUUAAUUAAUACGAUUCUGCUCAACUAAUGCCCGAUAAAAAAGAUCUAAGCUGUUUCCAUUUUUUGUUGCUGUUACCAACGACACUGCAGUGAGCAUUCUUGCAGCUAAAUCUGUAAACACAUCCUCGACUGUUCCUUUACCCCAGCUUCUUAGAGAUGGGGUGGUGGGUUAAAUUGUUUGCAAAAGUUUAUUUUCAUUGAGUGAUCUUUCUAAAAUGGCAUUUUGACCUUGUUACUGUCUUGCUUUAAAGCCUCCAUCUGACUUCCUGGAGCUUCCGGGACGGGGUCCAAAAAAUAAGGCCUUAUCCUGGCAUGGAAGACCCUUUAGGGUCUGUCUUGGAACUUGCCAGCCUCAGCCCCUCCCCACUGGUGUUUACCUGCUAGGCGCACCUCACCCCCACGGGGCUACCUGUUUCUCUCAGCGGGCUCCCUACUUCUUAGGCUUUGCGCGGCCGUGCCUUUUCAGCCAGUUUCUCCCCGGCCUUAAAGAGCAGGCUUGAAAUAUCCCUGUUGGGGAGCCCAAAGUUAGAUGGGCCCCACGAAACACUGUGUUCAGAAGCCCACCGAAGCCCUGACCCUGGAAGUGGGAUGCCUCAUUGACAUUUUUUUCCCAAUUAAAGGGAAUGUUUUGCAUUUUUCUAGAAUUGAUGAAACUGGUCAACUGUUACUCACCCUCCUUCCUUUGUCCCUUUCUAGGAGCCCUGGGCUCCCCCAGUGUUGCCUGGGUCUGACUUUGCCUCAGUGAAAACUGCCUCGAAUUCUUUCUUGCACCGAUGGGCAGAUGGGCAGUGUCGGAGGAUCGUGUCAUCUGUCCCGUGGCGCUGGUUGGCUUGGUCAAGUCAGUGUUCAAACUAUCUCCUGCUCUUUCAAGGGGAUCUGGGGCUCUAGAAGAUUAGAGGACUUGGAGAGGUUAGUGACUUGCUCGAGGUCGGCUAGGAAGCAAGACCCAGGAUUCCAACUCAGGUCUGUGUGAUUCCUCUGCAAAAUGGAGAGGUGGAAGGAUGGAUGUCAGGUCUGAUGGAUGGAUGGAUGCCUACAUCAAGAUACAUGCAUAGAUGGAGAGAUGGCUGGCUACCUCAUGAAUGCUGGUAAGAUGGAUGAGUGAAUUGAAGCACAGGUGGUGGAAGGAGAGAGGAAUGAGAGAGGAUAGUCAAUUUCCCACCAAGAUCAAAGGCUUACUUGAUCUUUGAAGAGAGGUUCCCUCUGAAUGGAGCUUGCUGGUGAAGCUCCUGCCUUCUGUUCUGCUUCUGAGCGCACUGACUGGCUCAGGUGGCUCUGGGACAACAGGUGGGAUGCCAGCUUACAGGGACCAAGUCCCAGCUGUGGUGCUGGAGCUGCUCAGUGGCAACUCUCCGUCUCUGCUGCUUUCACGCAGCACUGACGAAGAGCAGGCAUCCGCCUUUCCACUGGCUCUCCUGGAUGACUAAGCCCUAAGCCCCAACCGCAUACUCAGCCCUUCACUGGCACUUGGCAUAAUUUUAUCUCCUCUAAAUCAUCACAGCCACCCUCCAUGAUAGCAAUUUCUAUUCUCAAUUAAGUGAAAAGGAAACCGAAGUUUAGGAGUGGUAAGUGACUUACCCAAAAUCGUAUAAGGAGGAAAUGCAGACCCAGGAUUUGAACUCGAGUCUUCUUUCCUUCCAAACUCAUCCCCUCAACCUGUUUAUUUCCUUUUCUCUAUGACCAUGUCUGAAGAAAUCUGCCUUGGGGUUGUCUCAUAUUGGACUCACUCUCUUGGUCUGUCAGUGAGCUGAACUUCUCAUCCAAUCAAAUCCAAGCUUAUUUCCCAAGUAAUAUCUCUAGUGUAUUCUAUUUGUAAUGAUCACACAGGCAAGGGCCACACAUAUCACUGGCAUCCUACAGUACAAUUAAUCAAGUCAAAUUAGAUUCCUGGCAUCUCAUAUUCUGACUGAAUGCUAAUGGUAGUAGAUGUAAAAAUGACUCCAGUGCAAGGCAAGGAGGGAGGGGACUGGAUGUAGGGCUGAAUGGCGAAUCAGUAAGCCUUGCUGCAGACCUGGGUUAACAUUAGCAGAUAGGUUUUGAGAACCUGCUCAUGGGCUAGGCCCUACUUCACACAUUCUAGGUGCUAAGGUUUCAAUCUCAGCUUUGCCAUUGACUACUUUUGUGAGUUUGGACAAGGUAUUUAAUUUCUGUGCCGCGUUUUCUUCAGUUGUACCAACAGUACCUUACUAAUACCGAUAGUACCUUACUAAUGAGUACUUGAGGAUUAAAUGAGGCAAACAUAUAAAUUCCUUAAAAGAGAGCAUUCCAGGCUGGGCAUGGUGGCUUAUGCC